UACGUAGGGUGCGAGCGUUGUCCGGAAUUAUUGGGCGUAAAGAGCUCGUAGGCGGUUUGUCACGUCUGCUGUGAAAUCCCGAGGCUCAACCUCCGGCCUGCAGUGGGUACGGGCAAACUAGAGUGCGGUAGGGGAGAUUGGAAUUCCUGGUGUAGCGGUGGAAUGCGCAGAUAUCAGGAGGAACACCGAUGGCGAAGGCAGAUCUCUGGGCCGUAACUGACGCUGAGGAGCGAAAGCGUGGGGAGCAAACAGG
rnacentral:rRNA from 1 species